rnacentral:sRNA from 1 species
GGUGUCAACCCUCACUUGAGGAGACCCUGAGGCCCUGUGUACCGUUCCCAGCUCUGCCUCACCGAGGGAGCCAAAGACGAGUGUAAUGUGGUAGAAGUUGUGGCCCGGAACCAUGACCAUCAGGAGAUCGCAGUCCCUGUGGCCAACCUCAAGCUGUCCUGCCAACCCAUGCUCAGUCUGGAUGACUUCCAGCUCCAACCACCUGUAACCUUCCGCCUGAAGUCGGGCUCUGGCCCUGUGCGGAUCACUGGGCGGCACCAGAUUGUUACGAUGAGCAAUGAUGUUUCUGAGGAGGAGAGCGAGGAAGAGGAAGAGGACAGUGAUGAGGAAGAAGUUGAGCUGUGCCCCAUCCUUCCUGCCAAAAAGCAGGGGGGCAGGCCCUAGCCCUCCUUG